rnacentral:rRNA from 1 species
GACGAACCGUGCGAACGUUAUUCGGAAUCACUGGGCUUAAAGCGCGUGUAGGCGGGACGGCACGUCGGUCGCUGAAAUCCCCCGGCUCAACCGGGGAACGGGCGCCGAUACGACCACCCUGGAGGGACGUAGGGGGACCUGGAACUUCCGGUGGAGCGGUGAAAUGCGUUGAGAUCGGAAGGAACGCCCGUGGCGAAGGCGGCCUUCUGGACAGUGACUGACGCUGAGACGCGAAAGCGUGGGGAGCAAACAGG